rnacentral:rRNA from 1 species
UACGGGGGGGGCAAGCGUUUGUUCGGAAUUACUGGGCGUAAAGGGCUCGUAGGUGGCCAACUAAGUCAGACGUGAAAUCCCUCGGCUUAACCGGGGAACUGCGUCUGAUACUGGAUGGCUGGAGUAUGGGAGAGGGAUGCGGAAUUCCAGGUGUAGCGGUGAAAUGCGUAGAUAUCUGGAGGAACACCGGUGGCGAAGGCGGCAUCCUGGACCAUUACUGACGCUGAGGAGCGAAAGCCAGGGGAGCAAACGGG